GUAUAGUCGUGCCCUAAUUUUUGUUCUGGUGCCGUGGGAUCAAGCUAGAGCCAUCUGAUCGCCGGCGUGAGGUUGCCUUAGGGCUUCGAAGUUCUAUGAUGGCAAUUGUUACCUGCUUGAUUGGAUUGCAAUUCGGGCACGUCAUCAUACACUUUAAGGAUCACAAGGAGAGGAUUGUGCAGUGGAUGAUUGCUUCCUUU